rnacentral:rRNA from 1 species
AUGUUCUUUGAGACACCGGAGGUGGACCCUCUACCGCAGAUGGUUGAGAGUUCCUUCCCAGCAGUAGUCAGAGUCACUAAUGGACAGUUGUCAGAGGCUCAGAUCGUGAGACAUCUACGUGACUUAGUGCCAGGGAACCAUCAGUGGCAUCUGGAACAUUUAGAGGAUCAGUCCUAUAAGGUGGAUUUUCCCACCAAAGAGGAUCAAUUGCAUUUUCUUAAGUGGGGUUUGUGCAGAGUCCCGAGCACCAACAUUGUUAUUGCUUUUGAUGAGUGGAAGGAGGAGGAACCUGAUGGUAUACCUUUGGAGAAGGUGUGGGUACGUUUCUUUGGCGCGCCACCAAAAUUGAUGAAACAUUUUCUGAUUGCUUGGAGUUUGGGUGCUAUGAUUGGUAAAACAGAAAAGGUUGACAUGCCUUUCACUCGUGCACACAGGGCUGCGAGGUUACUGGUCAGCGUUGUGAGUGUUGAGUUCAUACCAGAUGUGGUCAGAUGGACA